rnacentral:rRNA from 1 species
GACGAACGCUGGCGGCGUGCUUAACACAUGCAAGUCGAGCGGGGAUAAGAGCUUCGGUUCUUAUUCUAGCGGCGGACGGGUGAGUAACGCGUGAGCAAUCUGUCCUACACAGGGGGAUAACACUUGGAAACAGGUGCUAAUACCGCAUAAGACCACGGGAUCACAUGUUCCUGAGGUAAAAAGAUUUAUCGGUGUAGGGUGAGCUCGCGUCCGAUUAGCUAGUUGGUGAGGUAACGGCCCACCAAGGCGACGAUCGGUAGCCGACCUGAGAGGGUGAUCGGCCACAUUGGAACUGAGACACGGUCCAAACUCCUACGGGAGGCAGCAGUGGGGAAUAUUGGGCAAUGGGCGCAAGCCUGACCCAGCAACGCCGCGUGAGGGAAGAAGGUUUUCGGAUUGUAAACCUCUGUCCUCAAGGACGAAGGAAGUGACGGUACUUGAGGAGGAAGCCCCGGCUAACUACGUG